rnacentral:tRNA from 1 species
AGCUCAGUUGGUAAGAGUGUCACGUUGACAUCGUGAAGGUCAGAGGUUCGAGUCCUCUACCGCCCA